UUCUUUAAAUGAGGACUAGUAUCAAUGGCAUCACGAGGAUCUUACUGUCUCCCCGCUCCAAUCAGNGAAACUGAUCUCUCCGUGAAGAAGCGGGGAUAUUUAUAUAAGACGAGAAGACCCCAUGGAGCUUUAAACCCAACAGCACCUAUUCUUUUUAUAUCUUCAUAUUCUCC
rnacentral:rRNA from 1 species